UGCCAGACUCCUACGGGAGGCAGCAGUGGGGAAUAUUGCACAAUGGGGGAAACCCUGAUGCAGCGACGCCGCGUGAAGGAUGAAGUAUUUCGGUAUGUAAACUUCUAUCAGCAGGGAAGAAAAUGACGGUACCUGACUAAGAAGCCCCGGCUAACUACGUGCCAGCAGCCGCGGUAAUACGUAGGGGGCAAGCGUUAUCCGGAUUUACUGGGUGUAAAGGGAGCGUAGACGGCAGUGCAAGUCUGGAGUGAAAGCCCGGGGCCCAACCCCGGGACUGCUCUGGAAACUGUACGGCUAGAGUACGGGAGGGGCAGGCGGAAUUCCUAGUGUAGCGGUGAAAUGCGUAGAUAUUAGGAGGAACACCGGCGGCGAAGGCGGCCUGCUGGACCGAAACUGACGUUGAGGCUCGAAAGCGUGGGGAGCAAACAGGAUUAGAUACCCCCGUA
rnacentral:rRNA from 1 species